ACGGGAAGGGAAGAGGAGAGGGAGAGCGAGCGGGUCAGGCGACGGGAAGGGAAGAGGAGAGGGAGAGCGAGCGGGUUAGGUGACGGCCAUGGCCAUGGCGCUCGCAGAUCCGCCCGCCCCGUCAUCGCCGCUGCGCUCGCAGGUGAGCGGCGCCGACCUAACGGAUCUUCCUCGUCGUCAACCCGGCGUACUGGUGUGGUGGAUCCGCCUCCUCUCUGUUUCAACCAUGGUUGUGCUCUUUCAUGUGCGCGGCCCUCUCCGUGACAACUGCAGCCCAAGGUCGUCAAAUCCGUCACCGUCGCCAUUCUUCUGCUCGAGGCCUUUGCCACCAUGGAUGGAUGCGGGCAAGGCCAGCCUCCCCCUCCCCACGCAUAGGUGACUAUGGGAGUUGCAUUGACAGAGUCCAUGUAUUAAACUGGGGCAUUUUUGGCAACUGCAGCAACCUGACAAUUAAUUCGUUCUCAUCCAAGGUAAUUUACUUCCCCCCUUUAUGUAUCAUUGAUGGAUAUAUGUGAUGGUUGGUUGUCAUUACUGAAGCAAGAAUUGUUGAUGGUGACUACCUUUCGAGCAGGUUUACCGCUCGUCUUGCUAAUGUUAAUUUGUAUGUUUGUUCAUGGCUUGCUUCCCAACCACAUGUGCUCCCCACGGUGAGGAACGGACGUGCUCAACGCCUUCCUUCCCAACCAGAUAUGAGAAAGAAGAAAUAGGACCAAGAAAAUUAGUUGCUCAUAUAUUCAUCUGUCUUGCGGAGAAGAACCCGAAUGGAGAACUUGGUAUGCCGAGUAAUGUGCAGGUUGCUUUUGUCCUCUCACCUGCUCUUUGGUCUUCGUCUAUUGCUCUGCUGGCUCGUCAUCUCCUUGGUUGGAGGUUGUUCUUGGUCCUGCCAUUUGUUCUUGUUAGAGCUCACUGAAAAUAUUUGUUCUCACCUAUGCUAAUGCCUUUCGGUUAAACUAGGAAUUAUUUCAUUGUUGGAAGCUUUCAUCUGCAUAUAUGCGUAAGGGGCUGUGUAUUUAUUUUGUUUCAUUCAUUUUUUGGUCUAUUUAUUUUGCACAGAAAGCCAUUUCUGGUAUGCUUUGAUGGGUCUUAUUUAAUACAAUACAGACAAAAUUGGAAGUAGUAGCAAACCAGCCAUGAAAAUUUUGAGAGAACUAUGCUAACCACAAGCAAUGAUGUACUCCUGGAUUUUGCCAUGAUAUUGUAGCCCACUUCCAAGACUCUAUAUACUAAUGUUAGCUACUUGCUUCUUUAGCUGCUCUAAUUAGGAACCAAUUAUCUGUGUGGUUUAUCGUCUUAAAAUUGUUACUAUUCACUUAGUGGGGGAGUGUAAGAAGUAGCUGAUUUUAGAGAACACUACACACCAGAGCAGGAAGCCGAGGUCAGGAAGGAGAAUGCAUGUACCCUUGAGGACUGAAGAAUGAUGUUUAAUCUUGCUUUUGUCUACGUUGCUAUUCUUGGUUCAGAUCCUUACCUUCGGUUCAGUUCCAUGUAGUCUUAUGGAUAGAUGGACAAGUUGGUGAAAACUGAAAACUACAGGAUGGAUUAAUUAAUCGGUUAAUUAAUCGUUGUUGCCCCUAAUUUUGUUUCAGCUUCAUCAACACCUUACAUUUGCUUGGUAGAAAUUUAAACUGAACACCAACUUCAUUUAUGUUAUACUCGGGUAAUGGACUUCUUCAGAUAUACAAUUUCCUCGAGCAAAGUUUACAAUGCUUUUGUGCCACUUAUGACAUGCUUCACAAUUUUUUUGUCUUUCCUUGUGGAUCGUCCAUUUGAACAAUAUAUAUCAAUGUAAAUAACCUUACAUUUCCUUCUAUUUCAAUCGAUUUAAGGUACUCAUGUAUAAUGAUUACUAAUGACCAGCUGCAGCCACCGCCUAAUCUAACAUUGUUGUAGUCAUGGCUUUUGGCAUCUGUGUAUUCCAUUUAGUUACCUUUGCCUAAUGCGCCCUGAUGAGAGGCAUUCUUGUUGCCCUGUACACAGCUUUGCGUUGUAUGAUUGUUACUAUUUCUCACUGCAUUCUCUCCUUUGCAUUGUCUGACUAUUACAUGAUUAAUAGAUGAACAAUCCUAUAUCCGCAAUGAAAGGCAAGGGACAAGCUCCUGUGACUAAAUACCUAGUUGUUGAAAGAUUGAAAGCGUAAGCAAGUUCGCCAAAUUCCUUCGGUAAGUCAUAUAUUCUUGUGUCUCUUUCCUAUGUUUUAGAGGUUUAUAGAAGAUAUGAGGUAGAAUAUUUCCUUUUCAGUAUAUCUGAAAUUAUAUGGGAGAGAUUACUAGCUCACACAUAUAGUUCGAUUAUUAGCUUUCUAAAUAAGUUCAGCCCUAGAGCACAUAUUUUUGCAUCCAUUGCUUAUUUAAUCCAUUGGUAUCUAUUUUCUCCGGUUCAUAUAGUAUGUUUACAUUUGACUUGGAAUUGUCUGUACUUUUGUUCUGCUUUUGUUUCAAGGUACUUUCAAAGAAAUCAAUGUCCCAUCUGUCUAUGGAAAACUCUAAGAAGGCUCGAUUGGCACAUGAAGCUCUUAAAUACUUGAGAGCCUUUUACAACAAGGUCCUAUAAGACUACAUACAUAUAUUACACCGGUUGUCCCAGCUCAUAGUUAGUUGUCAUGAGUCCGGUUGGUUGAACAAGGUCCUAUAAGACUACAUACAUAUAUUGCUACAGAUAUGGUGUUGCCAUUUUAUUGCUACAGAUAUGGUUGUUCUGAUUGUAUACAUACAUAUAAUUCUGCCGU